rnacentral:tRNA from 1 species
AUCUUUCUAGUACAACUUAAUACUAAUGACUUCCAAUCAUUUAAACCUGGUUAAAAUCCAGGGGAAGAUA